GUUGAGUACAAUGAUGAAGGUUCAUAUGACUAUUUUGCAGGGUGUCAUCAUCUUGCUGCAGUGACACUAGAUGUUUUAGAUCUUUCACAUUUAUUCAUGCAUUUACCUAAAUCUUCAACUGCUUCACCACAAGCUGACAGUGGUGUGUACAGAGUGAUGGACAACAGGACCAACGACACCAUCAACACUGUGUUUGUCAGUGUUACUGUUCUUCGUUCAGAGCUCAUCUCAGGAGGCAUAAGGUCCAGGACGUGUUUAGCAGAGAGUCCCAGCAGAGGCGGCUGCUCCU